rnacentral:rRNA from 1 species
UGAAGUGUGGCACCGUCUUCGGAUGGUUCCUCAUGGAGCGCGCGACCCUAGCGAGUAGUAGGUAAGCAAUGGAGAGACGCAGGAAGGUAGCCGAACCGCGGCGAUGGUUGUUCCGCGGGUAAGGGUGUAGGGCGAGGUGUAGGCAAAUCCGCACCUCAUGUGCCUGAGACCUGACACGGACCCGUAAGGGGAAGUCGGUGAUCCUAUGCUGCCAAGAAAAUCUUCUAGCGAGGUUCUAGCCGCCCGUACCCCAAACCGACUCAGGUGGUUAGGUAGAGAAUACCAAGGCGAUCGAGUGAAUCGUGGUUAAGGAAUUCGGCAAAAUACCCCCGUAACUUCGGGAGAAGGGGGGCCCAGAGGGUGACGGGACUUGCUCCCCGAGCCUGAACGGCCGCAGAGACCAGGGAGAAGCGACUGUUUACUAAAAACACAGGUCCGUGCCAAGUCGCAAGACGAUGUAUACGGACUGACGCCUGCCCGGUGCUGGAACGUUAAGGGGACCGGUUAGCCUCACGGCGAAGCUGAGAACUUAAGCGCCAGUAAACGGCGGUGGUAACUAUAACCAUCCUAAGGUAGCGAAAUUCCUUGUCGGGUAAGUUCCGACCUGCACGAAUGGCGUAACGACUUCUCCACUGUCUCAACCACGAACUCGGCGAAAUUGCACUACGAGUAAAGAUGCUCGUUACGCGCAGAAGGACGGAAAGACCCCGGGACCUUUACUACAGCUUGGUAUUGGUGUUCGGUACGGCCUGUGUAGGAUAGGUGGGAGACUGUGAAGCUGACACGCCAGUGUCGGUGGAGUCAACGUUGAAAUACCACUCUGGUCGUUCUGGAUAUCUAACCUAGGUCCGUAAUCCGGGUCAGGGACAGUGCCUGGUGGGUAGUUUAACUGGGGCGGUUGCCUCCUAAAAGGUAACGGAGGCGCCCAAAGGUUCCCUCAGCCUGGUUGGCGAUCAGGUUUCGAGUGUAAGUGCACAAGGGAGCUUGACUGUGAGACUGACAAGUCGAACAGGGACGAAAGUCGGGACUAGUGAUCCGGCGGUGGCUUGUGGAAGCGCCGUCGCUCAACGGAUAAAAGGUACCCCGGGGAUAACAGGCUGAUCUCCCCAUGAGUCCAUAUCGACGGCAUGGUUUGGCACCUCGAUGUCGGCUCGUCGCAUCCUGGGGCUGGAGUAGGUCCCAAGGGUUGGGCUGUUCGCCCAUUAAAGCGGUACGCGAGCUGGGUUUAGAACGUCGUGAGACAGUUCGGUCCCUAUCCUCUGCGCGCGCAGGAAACUUGAGAAGGGCUGUCCCUAAUACGAGAGGACCGGGAUGGACGAACCUCUGGUGUGUCAGUUGUUCUGCCAAGAGCACCGCUGAUUAGCUACGUUCGGGAGUGAUAACCGCUGAAAGCAUCUAAGCGGGAAGCAUGCUUCAAGAUGAGGUUUCCAUGGGGUUUACCCCGAGAGGCUCCCAGCUAGACUACUGGGUUGAUAGGCCGGAUGUGGAAGUGCGGUAACGCAUGGAGCUGACCGGUACUAAUAAGCCGAUAACUUGAC